UACGUAGGUGGCAAGCGUUAUCCGGAAUUACUGGGCGUAAAGCGCACGUAGGCGGCUUUGUAAGUUAGAGGUGAAAGCCCGGGGCUCAACUCCGGAAUUGCCCUUAAGACUGCAUCGCUAGAAUUGUGGAGAGGUAAGUGGAAUUCCGAGUGUAGAGGUGAAAUUCGUAGAUAUUCGGAAGAACACCAGUGGCGAAGGCGACUUACUGGACACAUAUUGACGCUGAGGUGCGAAAGCGUGGGGAGCAAACAGG
rnacentral:rRNA from 1 species